rnacentral:rRNA from 1 species
AGAGUUUGAUCAUGGCUCAGAAUGAACGCUGGCGGCGUGCUUUACUCAUGCAAGUCGAGCGAGGCGGGGAGCAAUCCCCAGUCGAGCGGCGAACGGGUGAGUAACGCGUGGAUGACCUGCCCUUGAGCGGGGAAUAACCCGGGGAAACUCGGGCUAAUACCGCAUACGACCGAGAGGUGAAAGGGGGCUCGCAAGGGCUCUCGCUGAAGGAGGGGUCCGCGUCCGAUUAGCUAGUUGGUAGGGUAAUGGCCUACCAAGGCGACGAUCGGUAGCCGGCCUGAGAGGGUGAUCGGCCACACUGGAACUGAGACACGGUCCAGACUCCUACGGGAGGCAGCAGUGGGGAAUUUUGCGCAAUGGGCUAACGCCUGACGCAGCAACGCCGCGUGGAGGAUGAAGGUCUUUGGAUUGUAAACUCCUGUCAGCGGGGAAAAAGGGACCUGACCUCAUACGUCAGGGACUUGAUUGUACCCGCAGAGGAAGCCCCGGCUAACUCUGUGCCAGCAGCCGCGGUAAUACAGAGGGGGCAAGCGUUAUUCGGAAUUAUUGGGCGUAAAGGGCGCGUAGGCGGCUUUGCAAGUGACGGGUGAAAGCCCUCGGCUUAACCGAGGAACUGCCUGUCAGACUGUGAGGCUUGAGACCGGGAGAGGUGAGUGGAAUUCCCAGUGUAGCGGUGAAAUGCGUAGAUA